GAUGAAGCAGUGAAGAAAUUGGAUGAAAUCUGAUACAUACCCAAUUUCAGGAGUAAUCUAAUUUCACUGAGCAGACUGAAUUUAGGUAGCUACAGAUGGAGAGUUGAUGGAAUCUUGAAAGUUUUAUGUGGCAGUAGGGUUGUGUUGAAGGAGAAGAGGUAUGGGGGAUAUUACCUCUUGAUAGGGAGCUCAGUGCGAGAUGGAACUUUAGGUGCCAGUGGGAGCUCAGAGUGAGGUGAAGUUUCAGGUAUAGGUGGAUUGGGCACAAGAUGGG
rnacentral:lncRNA from 1 species